rnacentral:rRNA from 1 species
UACGAAGGGGGCUAGCGUUGCUCGGAAUCUCUGGGCGUAAAGGGUGCGUAGGCGGGUCUUUAAGUCAGGGGUGAAAUCCUGGAGCUCAACUCCAGAACUGCCUUUGAUACUGAAGAUCUUGAGUUCGGGAGAGGUGAGUGGAACUGCGAGUGUAGAGGUGAAAUUCGUAGAUAUUCGCAAGAACACCAGUGGCGAAGGCGGCUCACUGGCCCGAUACUGACGCUGAGGCACGAAAGCGUGGGGAGCAAACAGG